AUGCUUGCUUCAGUAGCACAUAUGAUAAAUUGGAGUGAUAAAGAGCAGAUUAGCAUGGCCUUUUCACAAGGACGACAAAUUUCAGAAGAUUUUCAGAAUUUU
ensembl:snRNA U6 U6 spliceosomal RNA